GACGGAGGAUGCAAGUGUUAUCCGGAAUCACUGGGCGUAAAGCGUCUGUAGGUUGUUUAAAAAGUCUGCAGUUAAAGGUUGAAGCUUAACUUCAAAAAUGCCGUAGAAACUUUUAAACUAGAGGAUGGUAGGGGUAGAGGGAAUUUCCAGUGGAGCGGUGAAAUGUGUAGAUAUUGGAAAAGACCACCGAUGGCGAAGGCACUCUACUGGGCCAUGACUGACACUGAGAGACGAAAAGCUAGGGGGAGCAAAAUGGG
rnacentral:rRNA from 1 species